UUAGUUCAGAUCUCCUCUUUCGUUUCUAGGGUUUUGCAGAUCUCCUCUUUCGCUCUCCUUACCAUUGAACCAGUAGGAUUCAGAUCUUAAUUCUCAACAACAAUCACAUAAUCUUAUCAAUUUCAUCAAUGGCGAUUUCAAGUGAGUUGUAUCCAAGCCAAGACGAUCUCCUCUGAGAAUAAGAACUCCUCAUAAAUCCCUUCAGUUUGAAGCUAUGGUGGCGAUACUUAAUUGCACGCACUGAAUCUCCGUUCAAGAAGCGAGUCGUGAUCUAUGAACGAGCAUUGAAAGCAUUACCAGGAAGCUACAAGUUAUAGGUACAAGAAGCGAGCCGUGAUCUAUGAACGAGCAUUGGGUGCCAUCGGAGUUCUGCUGGGUGAUGAAAGGGUGGAGGUUACAGUUGUGGUGAUUUGGGUUACAUUUAUGGUUUUAACUUUGAUAAUUAUGGGGGAAUCUGGAACAAUGAACUGGUGCUGAUGAUGAACUUGAUGUAAUUGGAUUUGCGACGGUGGUUUGUGUGGAAGAUGAUUCUAGAUGGUUUAUUUGAAGAUGAAGAUGGAUGGAUAAAGAUGGUUUGAAGAUUGAUUCAUUUGAAGAUGAAGAUGGAGUAUGUAUCUGGGAUGAUGAUGAAUGAACUGAUGAUGAUGAACUUUAACAGAGUACGUAGUGGAGGCUUACGCAGAUAAGGGGACAGAUCUGGUAUUUAAGGAUCCAAAUAUUUAAGGAUCCAAAUAUUUAAGGAUCCAAAGAUAUCUGCAAUACAAACAAUGUGGAUGGAAGUGGAAGCUCAGAUGGAAGUGCAAUACAAACGAAGGCAAAAGAUUCUGCAGAAUAAGUUGCAAACUUAUCUACAGAUGUUCUUUCUGUUAUCAAAUCUACACGGUUUUACAAUGGCUGCAGACAAAUCUGGUGGUGACCUUCUGUGACGCUUAAAUGACUGAAGUUCUACUUGCUGCAUUUCAGUUUGUGAUCUUGAGUUAAUUUGAGACCAAAGAGGAACUGCUAAGGGUACUUGGACGGAAGGAGGAAAAAGGAAGUCAACUUGAGUUCCUUUGCAGGGGCUAUAAGACUGCAACAUGGUGGGAGGAAGACGUUGAUUUGGAGUUAUCUUCAGCAUGGCGUAACUAAGUUGAACCCGAUAAGAAACAACUAAGUUGAAUCUGAUAAAAAACGGGGCCUAGUUAUCAUCAUUUCAUAUUGUUUUUUCUUGUUUAUCAAUCAGUAGUCAGUACACAUAUUUCCUCUUAAUUUUUUUUCUAAAGUUUUAUGUACUUCCAUUUUUGUCACUAGGUCUCCUAUUGGUCAUAGUGAAGAAUAUAUAUGUAUCACCAUAGACUUAUUUUUAUUGGCGGUUAACAUCUAAUGCAUAAGUUUCUAUC